AGGACGAACGCUGGCGGCGUGCUUAACACAUGCAAGUCGAGCGGAAAGGCCCUUCGGGGUACUCGAGCGGCGAACGGGUGAGUAACACGUGAGCAACCUGCCCCUGGCUCUGGGAUAGCCUCCGGAAACGGGGAUUAAUACCGGACAUGACCCUUGACCGCAUGGUUGGGGGUGGAAAGUUUUUCGGCCAGGGUGGGACUCGCGGCCUAUCAGCUUGUUGGGGGGGUGACGGCCCACCAAGGCGACGACGGGUAGCC
rnacentral:rRNA from 1 species